AGGAAAGAGAACAAUAUAGGACCCCACUACCACCAAAGAGAUCCAUUCCUACAUAUAACAGGUAUGAACCAUUAAAAAGAAAUGAUAAUGGAAACUUUGACCCUUUUUUAGAGAGAGGCCAAAGAGACAGACGUUUGACAAAUCCAUUUCCACAGAAAAGAAGAUACAGGGAGUAUGAGGAGGGGGAAAUAGGAGAAUUGGAAGAAAUGGAAAUGAGAGAAAUGAGGAGGCCUGAAGGAAAAAAAAAGUGCAGAUAAAGAUUUUUAAUUUAUCAGAUAAAAUUUUAGAUGAAAAUCAUAAAAAAGUUUUAAGUAAAGGUUUUAAGUUUGCUCCUAGCUGUC